ensembl:snRNA U5 U5 spliceosomal RNA
AUACUCUGGUUUCUCUUCAGAUCAAAUAAAUCUUUCGCCUUUUACUAAAGAUUUCCGUGGAGAGAAACUAAACUUGAGCUUUUAAGAAAUUUUUUGAGGUCCUGCUUUAGCAGUGCU